rnacentral:rRNA from 1 species
UACAGAGGGUGCGAGCGUUGUCCGGAAUCACUGGGCGUAAAGGGCGCGUAGGCGGCCUGGUAAGUAGGGUGUGAAAUCCUGCGGCUCAACCGCAGGGCUGCCUUCUAAACUGUCAGGCUGGAGCACGGUAGAGGCAGAUGGAAUUCCCGGUGUAGCGGUGGAAUGCGUAGAGAUCGGGAAGAACACCAGUGGCGAAGGCGGUCUGCUGGGCCGUUGCUGACGCUGAGGCGCGACAGCGUGGGGAGCAAACAGG